CUCUAUACUUCAUCAUCACAUUUCUUAUUUUCCCUAGCUCCUGUCGCUGCAACUCCCACUUUCUUCUUCUUCUUAUUCUUUGAAUCGUCAAUGUUAUUGUUGAUGGUGUGUUGUUUCAUAGAAGAAUAGUCAAAUGACCAAGUGAUGUUGAAGGAGGAUGCCAUUCAGAGUUUCCAAUUCUUCCACAGGUGAGGCUCUAGCACAUGCAUUCAUUUUUUUGUAAACCCUCUUCCCUUACUAACUUCCAUUGAAUUUCCAUCAACAGAUGACUAAUGGACAUGUUGUUUCUUUGCUAAUUUGGGCUUGUAGAUAACCUUCUAUGCUUAAGAAAAGAUAUGGCGUGCCUUCCCUAUGUUUUUGGUGAUUUCUUUUAUGUCCUAAUAGAGAUUAGCUAAUCUGAUUUAGCAACAUUAUAUCAUCUGUCUCUUUUGUCAUAUGAUAAAUUUCUAGUAUCUUCUUUAAAUAUUUCCAACGUAACUAUAGCAAAUUAUAAUUUUGUUUAGUACAAAAACUAAUUUACUUCAUUUACAA